rnacentral:lncRNA from 1 species
GAAAAGGCAGAAAAAGUAUCUAUAAAUGGUAAUUGCUUUAUUUAAACUUGAUUUCUUUCUAGUUAGUUAUGUUUUAAAUGUUCAAAACCAUGUACAAAAACGCGCUAAACUUUAAAUAACUUAUUAUAGGAUUCGACCAGUGUGCGUCUUGGAAGAGUGUUGCCAUCGUAUACGCUAAAAGCUGAUUGGCUCCGCCAUCUUUUGCUCAGAUUUCCGGAUUAAUAUGGAAGGGGUAAACAGAUGAUCAGUUGUUUAUUUUUCGUUUACUUUACUCUGGUUUAGUGGUUUAACCUCACUUAACUAGAUAGAGUGAAAUAUUAAAUUACUAUUACUAUUAUUAUUCAGGUUGAAAAAUGCCUUCCUGUAAGGUAAAAGGUUGCGAAGUCGAUUGGGGAAAAAUAAUGUGAAAAUGAAUUCUUUCCCAAAAGAAUCUGAACGACGGAAAGUGUGGAUUAAAAAUAUAGGGUUAAAACAAGAUCCAAACAAAUAUGCUGUUGUUUGUGAAGAACACUACUUCUGACAUGUGGAAAAAAGUUAGACAAGAUGGCAGCAGAAAAUUAAAAUGCAUUGCUGUACCAACAAUAUUUAGAGAAGAAAGCGAAAGUAUUUAAUUAUUUAUAUUGGUUUUUUGUUUAUUCACCAAUUUAACACCUAUAGAUAUUUGUAUAACAAGAGAGCGAAGUGCACCUUUUCCUCCCAAGAAUAAAGUUUACUACAGUAAUCAUUCAAGGGAGGAAAAGGCACUUCUCCCAUGUUAUACAUUUUUCCACCUCCCUCAAAUAAGUCUUUUUUUCAUUUUUAAAAUAUUUUAUAACUGUUGAUUGAAUACAUGAAUCAUAAUUGAAUACAGGAAUUUGUGUAUUCAAUCAACAAUAGAACUAACAAAAUUUAUUAGAGAACUAAAACUAACAAGUAGGUACAGUAUAACUAUCAAAUUAUUAAUGAAAAAUUUUUAAAUCAAAAUAACAAUUUACUGUUUUUACCAUUUUGCAACAUCUAUAAAUAAAAUUUAAAAUGUAUGGAUACUUACCUAAUAGAAAAUAGAGUAAUAGUAUAGGGUGUCAAUAAGUUAUUUCAUCUAUGCUAUGACAUAGUAUGACGUCAACAUCACUUUUACUUUUACUCCCUAGGGAUUAAAAGUACUUUGUUUCCCUAGGGAGAAAAAAUAUGACUAUGCUCUCUACAAUGAGGCCAGGAAAUGUAUACUUUGGAUAGAGGUAGGUGGGAAAAUCUGUUUUAUUCAGUUAUUGUGAUUUGUUUCUUACAGACAAUCGGUUUGUUCUAGCACGAGUUUCAAACGGUCUGAAACCAUUAGCGAAUAGUGGACCAGCGCGAGUAGAGGGGAUAGCACUCAUAACUGUAUUAUGUUCUCUCACUGACCAACUGUUUGCUGACUAGUUCGACUGUUUGCUAGAACAAACCUAUUAUUCAAACAAAAUGUCCUCUACGUCAGACUGAUCAGAAUUUUAAAAAUGUGUCAUAUCAAUCAAGUCAAAAAAUUUCAAAAAUUGUUCCUGUAACCAUUUUUAGUGGAAAUAAUAACAGUACUUAUAUUGGAUCAGAGAGCCACCCAAUUCAUUGUUAAAGUAUGAUAAACUAAAAGUUAAACAAUUAGGCAUGCACUUCAUAUUAUAUUUAAUGAAAUAUAACCCACUGGUACUCGUACAAACUUGACGGCAAGCAAAUUCAACAAAUUUUUCCUCAUUUAUUAGUUUUUCACUACCGUUAAGUUUGGAAACAAGCGCUGUUGCCAAAUAAAAACAUAUACAGUCGGAAAAAUGAAAGAAUACCCAUGAACGAUCACAUCAAUCACAUAUUUUGUAUUUGCUGUUUUUUUUUUCAUAAAUAAUAAAUGAGAGAGAUAGAUGAAUAAUAUGUGAUUGAUGUGAUCGUUCAUGGGUAUUCUUUCAUUUUUUCGACGGUAUGUAUUUACCACAGCAACUACAGGUGACACUGUUUCUCUUUGUCUUUAAGAAUGUGAAACAAAGAUAACUACAGUGGGAAAAAUAAAGAAUACCCAUGAACUAUCACAUUGAUCACUUAUUUUGUGUUUCCUAUCUUUUUCUAUAACAAACGUUUAUUAUUUAUAGAAAAAGACAACAAACAUAAAUUAAGUGAUUGAUGUGAUCGUUCAUGGGUAUUCUUUCAUUUUUCCAACUGUAUCUGUAAUAUACGCUGAGCUCGUAGGUAGAGGGGAUAAUUAAAAAAUCGCGAGAGCCAGUAGUGACAAGUCUGUAAACCUUUACUGGAAAUUUGACAUAAAUGUCAAAGUGAAUAAUUUAAAAUUGAAAUUAAAAACAUUAAUUAGAAAAAAUAUUAGUUGGUCAAAGCUGUGGUAUAUAUUUUUAUCUUAAGUAUACUUACGGUUUAAAUACUGAAUUAAGUUUUUUUAAUAUGUUGUAAUAUCUAAUUAUAAUUAGAUAUAAAUCAUCUAAGCGCCAUCUACACGAUAAUUGUGAAUGUAUCUGAAGUAAGAAAUUAAUAUUUCAUUGAGAGAACGUUAAAACAGUUAGCAAAAUUUUUAAAAAAUCGAUUACAAUUUAAUUACUUUUUUGCGUUUUAAAUAUUAAGCGAUAACAAUUAAAUAAUACAUUUAAAAAUUACUGGUGAAAGUUGAAUUAGUAAUCCGCUAGGAGCGACACCAGCGAAGCUCAGAGCGUAUAAGUGGGUGCGUUUGGACGACCAUAGCGGCUGACUGUCAGCAGAAAUCGGCUGAGUGGUUGUAUCCAGCUGUGAUAGGGAAAGCUUAGUAAAUCUCUCAGAGGCUGACUUCCAGCGGUGACGUCUGACAGCUACUGCUGGCUCAGCUGUCCAGCCGCUGUGGUCAUCCGAACGCACCCAGUGUCAGUCAUGUUUUCCUAUAGUAUAGAAGGCUUAGAUAGAAGGUUAUGUAAGAUUUUUGUUUGUUUAUUUUUUCUUCUUCUUUUGUGGCCUUUGGAAGAUGUGCCCAUUUAGCCAGCAACAUUUCUUAAAAUUAAUGCCUAAAUAAACUACCAUACAAGAAAACCAUUACGAACCUAAACAACCAAUCAAGGAUACGGAAGGGAAAGUAAAGUUAUUUAAAAAAUAAACUGUUGUUAAAAUAUAAACUAAAUAAAUGAAAUAUAAAUUGAAAACAAUAAUUUGACAUUAUAAAUGUAACCUCCAAUAUUAUGACAGACGUCAGUUACCAUGACAUCAUAUAUUAUACUCGUCACUAAUUCUAGCCAAUGAAAUGUUUCUGUAAGAGGAAUGGCAUAUCAAAAAAAUCUGACUAUUCUCUAUAUAUUUUUUCAAAUUUAGAAUAUGGCAACAAGGGGAAAGUUAUGUGCAUUCCUCAUUGUUUGACUUUUCCUAUAUCUUUAGUAUCAGGUCAUCAUACAAUACAAAUACUUCCUGCAAUGAUUGGAAGUAAUGCAGAACAAGAAUUGAAUUUGGAAUCGCCGAGAAAAAGGAUUGGUGUACAAAAUAAGAAAGUAUAUAAAGGACAACAAACAUCUUCCAUAAGCGAUCAAAAUUGUAUAACUGAAAUUCAGGAAAUAGAUUCUGCUCCACCUUUAGGUAUAAAAAAUAUUUUGACAUUUUUUUUUAUUUAAUACACAAUUUAAUUUACCAUCUGAUCAUGAAGCUAUAAGUAAAUGGUGUGAAUGUUGAACACAUGAGGGAGAAGCUGCCAUGUGGCAACUCUCCUGUAUAAUAUAUUUUAUAUUAGUUCACAUAAAUAGUUAAUUUAUUAAGUUUGUUGGCCAUGGUUUCUUCAGUCACCUUUCAAAUCCAGGAGGGGUAUUUAGCAGUCUUGAUUCGUUACUUGGAUGAUCCGUUGUCCAUCAAGGAAGUUUCUUGUGAUUAUUCUAAUUUCUUCCUCUACCAAGGAUCUGGCAGAGUCAUCUUGUAUAGGGUUUUGUUCAAGUGUAAACACUUUUUUGCGCCAGUCCAGAGCUGUCUGCCAGCGCUGCCUUGAAUAGAAAGGUGGUCUAUUUUUCAUGCCACUGCCAUUCCAGUGAGACUGGCAUAGUGUUGCCAGGUCCGAUUUGUUUUUAGUCGGUACAUAAGCAAAAACAAAUCGGGAUUUAGGGUUGUAGAUCGGGACAAAUGAACAAUAGCCCAGUAAAUGACCGUUUUGGAGUGUAAUUUUCAGAGUCAACUCCGAAUUGCAUGAAAAUCUGGUUUUAGGUUCUACUUACUGUCUACUUCAAAGUUGAACUUGUACCGUUGGUUGCUUUUACUUGGGGGGUGACAGUUACAGUUACCCCUUAUCGAGGGUAAAAAACGCGCGUUUAAAGUAAGUCCCAAAAUGGAUCAACUGACUAACUCUAAAAAAACUUUUGUUCUAUAUAAUUUUUAAACUAAGUCAAUACUUUUCGAGCAAUUGUAUCGAAAAAAAUAUUCAUUAGCAAAAAUGUAGCAUUAAAAAAAGUAAAAAAAAUGGUUAAUGUUCAGAAAGUCUAUAAAACUAGUAAAAGCAAAGUUGUAGCUCAUCAAAAAUACGUUCCUAUUGGUCAAAUUACAAAUCGAAUUUUUCAACUUGAAAUAACCAAAAAAUUAAGCAAUUUUCGGGCAAAACCUAUUAAAAUUUUUUAAAGUGUUUAAAAAAUAUUUAAUUUUGUUUUAUAUAAAAGUCUCUAGCAUUAAAACUAAGCCAGUUACGCUAAAAAUAAAGUUGGUUCCUUUUUUCGUAAAAAAAUCGUGAAAAUCUCCCCCUAUUUAGCACCGUAAAUAAAAUUAAUCGUUACCGCUUUACCAUUUACUUUAUAUGUGUAUUGUUUAUACGAUCUGUAAGGUUUACCAGUUGGGAGUGCUUAGUUUUGAAAAAAUUUUAUUUUAUAGCAAAACAAAUUUUCCUAAAAUAUUGGAAAAUGCCCUUUUUUCAAAAUAACUUAAAAAGUAUUAGGGAUACUAAAAAUCUCAAGGAAUAAAAAGUAGGUAGGUCUUGCUUUUAUAAAUAUUAUAGAUUCAUUUUGUUUUUCUGUAAGACAAAAAGUGGUUAAAAUAUGGCUGUUCAUAUUUUGCAUACACUCGUGAUUAGUGACUCGUUCAGGCCCUUUCAAUAAUGUAAAAAAUACAUAAGUAAAAUAAAUUGUUUGUAAAGCGUUAACGGAUAAUUUCAUUUGGCGGGCUAAGUAGGGGGAGAUUUUCACGAUUUUUUUUCCAAAAAAAUGGAGUCAACUUGAUUUUGAGCAUAGCUCGCUUAGUUUUGAUGCUAGAAACUUAUUUAAAACGUAAAAAUAAAGCUUUAAUAAAAAUGGUUUAAUUGGUUUUUCCCGAAAAGUGCUUUAUUUCUUGGUUAUUUCACGUUGAAAUAUUUGAUUUGUAAUUUGAAGAAUAAAAACGUAUUUUUCAUGAGCCACAACUUUGCUUUUGCUGGGUCUAUAGACUUUACGAGUUUAAAAUUUUUUUCAUUUUUUUAUAUUAUGCUACAUUUUUGCUAACAAUAUUUUUUUCGAUCAAAUACUUACUUUUGAGUUAUUUGUGAAAAUCGCCUGAAAACGUGAUUUUUUGGUCGAAAAAUAAACAUUUUCAAUCGUAAAUAACUCGAAAAGUAUUAACUAAGUUAAAAUUGUAUAGAACUAAAAUUUCUUAGAAUUAGUCAAUUUAUCCAUCUUUUGACUUAUUUUAAACGCGCGGUUUUUCACCCCCAACUAGGGGUGACUGUCACCCCCCGAGUAAAAGCAACAAACGGCACAAGCCGUCCAAAUUUUUAUGCAAUUCGGAGUUGAUCCUGAAAAUUACACGGUAUCGCCGUAUUUACCGUUCAUUUACUGGACUACAAGGUGUUUCUAUAAUCUGUAUUUUUUAAUCCUACAUAAUAAUAAUAAUCAGACGAAAUUACAAAAAAAAAUCUUAGAUUAAGUGAAUUAUUUAUUUUUUAUUAAAAUUAUAUUUUUCAUUCGAUUUUGCCGCUUUUAGGAGUUCCUUGUUCUUAUAACAUAGUUAUAAAAUUCACUUCAAGUCCUCCUGAAAUUGGUUUUCGUGGGUGAAAAUCGGGACAUUUAGUGUCCCGAUCACGUACAAAUCGGUACGCGUCCCCAGACCCCUGAAAAUCGGGACGUCCCGCGCAAAGCGGGACACCUGGUAAUGCUAGACUGGCACCAGUUUCUGGAUACAUGUAAAUGUUACUUUAUUUUAUGUAAAUAUUAUUUUCAUUCUAGAAUCAAAGGGAGACUCUUUUAACAGAUAAAUGACGCUAUCAUUCUUUUUGUUCUAGAAAAACUGUAAAUAGUAUUUAAGGCAACGAUUGUGAAUGAGUGAGAAGUCUAAUAAAGCCACGACGAGAUACUGUAUUAGAGCGUACGAUUUGGAGGUAUUUUUGAUUAGAUAAAUUUUGUAAAGUACAAUAUAAGUUAGAUUUGAUAAUGUGUAGUAUUUCCUAAUAAAUUAAAUACUAUUAAGUGUUUAUUGUUCUUGUAAGUUAGUGUGGUAAAUAAAUAAUAUGAAGUAAG